rnacentral:rRNA from 1 species
UACGUAGGGUGCAAGCGUUAAUCGGAAUUACUGGGCGUAAAGCGUGCGCAGGCGGUUCGCUAAGACCGAUGUGAAAUCCCCGGGCUAACCUGGGAACUGCAUUGGUGACUGGCGGGCUAGAGUAUGGCAGAGGGGGGUAGAAUUCCACGUGUAGCAGUGAAAUGCGUAGAGAUGUGGAGGAAUACCGAUGGCGAAGGCAGCCCCCUGGGCCAAUACUGACGCUCAUGCACGAAAGCGUGGGGAGCAAACAGG